UACGAAGGGGGCUAGCGUUGUUCGGAAUUACUGGGCGUAAAGGGCGCGUAGGCGGUGUGUCAAGUCAGGCGUGAAAGCCCCGGGCUCAACCUGGGAACAGCGCUUGAGACUGGCACGCUCGAGUUCGGGAGAGGAUGGUGGAAUUCCCAGUGUAGAGGUGAAAUUCGUAGAUAUUAGGAAGAACACCGGUGGCGAAGGCGGCCCACUGGCUCGACACUGACGCUGAGGUGCGAAAGCGUGGGGAGCAAACAGG
rnacentral:rRNA from 1 species